UGGGGAAUUUUGCACAAUGGGGGAAACCCUGAUGCAGCGACGCCGCGUGAGUUAGAAGGCCUUCGGGUUGUAAAAAUCUUUUCUAUGGGAAGAAAAUGACAGUACCAUAGGAAUAAGGACCGGCUAAUUACGUGCCAGCAGCCGCGGUAAUACGUAAGGUCCGAGCGUUGUCCGGAAUCAUUGGGCGUAAAGGGUACGUAGGCGGGUAAGCAAGUUAGAAGUGAAAUCCUGUAGCUCAACUAUAUAAAGCUUUUAAAACUGCUAGGCUUGAGAGAUGGAAGGGAAAGUGGAAUUCCUAGUGUAGCGGUGAAAUGCGCAGAUAUUAGGAAGAAUACCGGUGGCGAAGGCGACUUUCUGGUCAUCAUCUGACGCUGAGGUACGAAAGCGUGGGUAGCAAACAGG
rnacentral:rRNA from 1 species